GUGGGAUGGGCCAAGUGAUGGACUUAUAUGAGUAAAGUUUCAGGCAAGCAAAUUCCGUAAGUGACCCAGGUUUAGCAAAAGAAGUUGGUACAGCUAUCCCAUUCUCAUCUCCAGAGUAACCCAGCACUGGCCAGUUUUUCUGCACCAUGUUCUGUACCACUUCAUCAGCUGAAUUCCAUGGACAGCAAAAGAAUAUGUUCCUGUGCCCCCUAUAACGUGGCCCCAGGCAGCAGAAAGGUUCAUACAUCCCAUAUGGAGCUUUAUGACUUGAGGGGUGAGAAAAUAAGAGUAUCUCUCGGAAAUUCUACUGUCUCCAGCACAGAGCCUACAGAUACAAGAGAUAUGUUGACACUGUCCUAUUCAAGGAGAUGGAAAAAAGAUGGCUGUGACAGAAAGGACAAGCUUUUUUCAAGUCUUUGUUCAACAAGGCCCACUCUCUCUUGAUGGGAAGACAGGUGAUCAAGUGACAUCUAUACCAGGUCUAGCAGUUCUCAUACCAUGGAUUCUGUUGUGCUUGAUGCCUUAUCCUUUCUCAGUGAUGUAAAUACAGAGUGCACCAGAAGAACUUUAUAUGGUGUGUCUCAGUUGCUUGGCACUUGAGAAAUUAAUGGCAGGAAGAAUGAACCCUGUGUACAGGAAGUGCAGAAGUAAAGCAGUAAGGAGCCACUUUUUGGAAUUAGUUGCUUCAUUGUAUCAGCCAACACCUGGUAAUGUAGAGAACGACUGGAUUAUAUGGAUUAUACAAUUACCAGUUCUUGGUAAGCAAAAUAAGGCACAAAGAGGUAACUUGGACCUGUUGAGCAUCACAGAACAGGUCACUAGAGCAGAGCCAGCAAUACUAUCGAGUCCUUUUCAUUAUCAAGCAAGUAGGCC